GUGGGGAAUUUUGGACAAUGGGCGCAAGCCUGAUCCAGCAAUGCCGCGUGCAGGAAGAAGGCCUUCGGGUUGUAAACUGCUUUUGUACGGAACGAAACGGUCCGGGUUAAUACCCUGGGCUAAUGACGGUACCGUAAGAAUAAGCACCGGCUAACUACGUGCCAGCAGCCGCGGUAAUACGUAGGGUGCAAGCGUUAAUCGGAAUUACUGGGCGUAAAGCGUGCGCAGGCGGUUUCGUAAGACAGGCGUGAAAUCCCCGGGCUCAACCUGGGAAUUGCGCUUGUGACUGCAAGGCUGGAGUGCGGCAGAGGGGGAUGGAAUUCCGCGUGUAGCAGUGAAAUGCGUAGAUAUGCGGAGGAACACCGAUGGCGAAGGCAAUCCCCUGGGCCUGCACUGACGCUCAUGCACGAAAGCGUGGGGAGCAAACAGGAUUAGAAACCCCAGUAGUCC
rnacentral:rRNA from 1 species